rnacentral:rRNA from 1 species
UACGUAGGGGGCUAGCGUUGUCCGGAUUUAUUGGGCGUAAAGAGCGUGUAGGCGGCCAGGUAGGUCUGCUGUGAAAACUCGAGGCUCAACCUCGAGACGUCGGCGGAAACCAUCUGGCUAGAGUCCGGAAGAGGAAAGUGGAAUUCCUGGUGUAGCGGUGAAAUGCGCAGAUAUCAGGAAGAACACCCGUGGCGAAGGUGGCUUUCUGGGACGGUACUGACGCUGAGACGCGAAAGCGUGGGGAGCGAACAGG